GAUUUCAACUGAAAAAGUCAUCAACAACAAAGUUGUAUAACCCAUCAAUAUCUAUAACUUUUAUUUUGGUUGUUUCUUCAUCCAACAAAGUGAUGGUAACAUUGUUCACAAAAUUUAAAUAACAAAUUUUUGUGAACAAUGUUACCAUCACUUUGUUGGAUGAAGAAACAACCAAAAUAAAAGUUAUAGAUAUUGAUGGGUUAUACAAUUUUAUUGAAAUCAUUUAGUAUUUGAAAUG
rnacentral:pre_miRNA from 1 species